rnacentral:misc_RNA from 1 species
AAGUCGUAACAAGGUCUCCGUAGGUGAACCUGCGGAGGGAUCAUUACCGAGCGAAGGGCCUCCGGGCCCGACCUCCAACCCUUUGUGAUUGAAGACCUCUGUUGCCUCGGGGGCGACCCGGCCCUGGCCGCCGGGGCCCCCGACGGACCCCAUCAAAAUGCUGCAUCUGUGCGUCGGAUUGUGAGGCGAAAUUGAUUAAAACUUUCAACAACGGAUCUCUUGGUUCUG